GACAUCGACUUUUUCCAGCUGUGAACAGAGCACGCGCAAAUGGUUCGAUUCGAGUCGCAGUUGUAUCAGUUUUAUCAAAGUUUUGUCAGAUUUAUCCAACAACUGGCUUAAAUUGUAUCUCAACUGAGAUGUCAUGGUUCAAUGUGAACAAAUAUAGAACAUCCCAAAGGAAAGAGUGUGUGCAGCCUGUUUCUUUCGGUAUUCCGGUGGCUAAAUUGCGCCCCAGUGGGCCAGUGGACUUGCCCCAAAGAAGAAAAUGGAUUCACCGAGCCAACCUAGGACGUCUCGUUGGAAGAGCGCGUUUUCGAAAGCAACUCAACUGAAUCUACAGGCGGAAACCAAAAGGAUGACCAGUUGCCAGACAGUUUGUACGACAAAUCAGCUGAACCGCAAAUUAUUUUCGUGUUAUUUUUGUUAUCCAGGAGCCUAAUUGAGAUGCGAAUGGUUUGAGCUGUGGUUGAGUACGGGAGGAGCCUACACGAAAUGGCAGGUCAAUUGUUCUUGGAAGACCUAAUCAGCUCGACAUCGCUUUAAGAUUUAUUAUCAUAUAAGUAUGAACAUAUGACCUUUAUUUUAUAACAAUUUACUGGGCAUACGGAUGUGUCUUUAUUAAUUUUUCAUUUAUAAAAAUUUCACUUUAAUCUGGAAAUCGAUUUCAGUAAUAUUACAACCAACUAUGUAUCUAUUAGAAUAGUGAUCAAAAUGCUUUAAGCCCAGUGAUGUAUAUUAAUGGCCGAUAGGACGGUGCGAUGCGCAUUUUAAGAGUACUGCACACGUUCCGUGCUAUUAAUCAAAUGAAAAUAAAAAAUAGCUAUGCACUGCCCAAAAACUUUAUCACGAGGCCUAAUAAUUUGUAUUAAUAGUAUUUGUAAAUCAAUUGCCAUUGCGAACCAUUUGCGAGCAAUUAUUUAUUUAUGGCCAUAAAUAUCAUCCUCUUUGAAAUUUGCAUUUGUAACCGCUCUCCCUCGACUGGUCUCCUCUGGCCGGGUUUAAUCCAAAACCAUGCAUUCAAAAUUGUUAUUAUUGAAUUUUAAUUAAUUUAACAAAUAAUGGCUACAGCGGCACAAAAAGACAAACAAACGAGCUCGUGUCAAACUUGAGUAAGGAAUUGCAAAAUACUCUACAAUUCCCAGAGAAUCGCACAAAAUCAAACAAAUUCAAAUACUCACUACUGAAAUUCUAUAUUUUGUAACAAAAAUUGGUCUUUAAAUACUUAUUGUACAUGCAUUUAUUGAAAAAAUAGCAGUCUUAAAUGUUUUUUGUUCUAUCUUAUUUAUUCAUUUGUAUUUGUAUAAAUUUGCGGCUUU